CCCAGCUGAUGUCACAAGGUCUGGACAACCCUUCACAAGCCACUAAAAGGCUCAACCUGUCCCUGUCCUCACCAUUCAAUAUCCUGAAGGCAUAGAGGGUUGGAAAUAGAAGAUGAGAAAUCCUGGCUCUGGGUGCCCAGUUCAGGCAGGUCAGAGGCUUCAGGCUGCAUGGGUGCCUUAGGGCUUAGGUGCCAAGAAGCACCAUCCUGGCAGCCUUGGUGAUCCAGAGACAGCACUGAGUGCAAGAGCAGAAGGGCGGUGAUGAGGUCACCCUGUUCUCUUGGCUCCUUGUCUUGGAAGCCAAGGUCACUCCUGCUGGGCAUCCUAAGCAGGGAACCCCUCUGCCUCGCUCCUGCUCCCGGGAGAAUCUCUCUGGAUCCCCCAUUCACCGGCGAGGGAAUGCUUGAGUGGGCACCGAGAGGCGGCGACGUGGCAGCUGCACGCACCCCACCUCUGCAGACCGGGUUCGAGGCUCCC